GGACUACAGGGGUAUCUAAUCCCGUUCGCUCCCCUAGCUUUCGCGCCUCAGCGUCAGAAGAGGUCCAGCAGCUCGCUUUCGCCACCGGCGUUCCUUCCGAUAUCAACGCAUUUCACCGCUCCACCGGAAGUUCCAGCUGCCCCUACCUCCCUCCAGACAAGCAGUAUCCAAGGCACUUUUCCGGUUAAGCCGAAAGAUUUCACCCCGGACUUGCUUGCCCGCCUACGCGCCCUUUAAGCCCAGUGAUUCCGAACAACGUUUGCACGGUUCGUCUUACCGCGGCUGCUGGCAC
rnacentral:rRNA from 1 species